CUUUUAUGGAGAGUUUGAUCCUGGCUCAGGAUGAACGCUGGCGGCGUGCCUAAUACAUGCAAGUCGAGCG
rnacentral:rRNA from 4 species